rnacentral:rRNA from 1 species
AUUGAACGCUGGCGGCAUGCCUUACACAUGCAAGUCGAACGGUAACGCGGGGCAACCUGGCGACGAGUGGCGAACGGGUGAGUAAUGCAUCGGAACGUGCCCAGUAGUGGGGGAUAACUGCUCGAAAGAGCAGUUAAUACCGCAUACGACCUGAGGGUGAAAGCGGGGGAUCGCAAGACCUCGCGCUAUUGGAGCGGCCGAUGUCAGAUUAGGUAGUUGGUGGGGUAAAGGCCCACCAAGCCAACGAUCUGUAGCUGGUCUGAGAGGACAACCGGCCACACUGGGACUGAGACACGGCCCAGACUCCUACGGGAGGCAGCAGUGGGGAAUUUUGGACAAUGGACGCAAGUCUGAUUCAGCCAUGCCGCGUGCGGGAAGAGGGCCUUCGGGUUGUAAACCGCUUUUGUCAGGGAAGAAACGCUCUGGGUUAAUACCUCGGGGUAAUGACGGUACCUGAAGAAUAAGCACCGGCUAACUACGUGCCAGCCGCCGCGGUAACAC